UUAGAAAGAAAAUGUUGUUAGC
rnacentral:miRNA from 1 species